rnacentral:miRNA from 14 species
UGUGUGUGUGUGUGUGUGUGUGUUAGUGUGUGUACACAGUGGCCUACAUUGUUUGUAGUAGGCGGCUCUCGCUGUGUGUCUGUGUUCAAUCACAUGUUAACCUACCGAACACACACACACACACACACACACACACACACA